rnacentral:tRNA from 1 species
GCGCCCGUGGCCUAAUGGAUAAGGCGUUAUACUUCUAAUCAACCGAUUGUGGGUUCCAGUCCACCGGGUGUG